rnacentral:rRNA from 1 species
UACAGAGGGUGCGAGCGUUGUCCGGAAUCACUGGGCGUAAAGGGCGCGUAGGCGGCUCAGUAAGGUUGCGGUGAAAGCCCGGGGCUCAACCCCGGGUCGGCCGUGGCAACUGCUGGGCUAGAGCACUGUAGAGGCAGGUGGAAUUCCGGGUGUAGCGGUGGAAUGCGUAGAGAUCCGGAAGAACACCGGUGGCGAAGGCGGCAUCCUGGACCAAUAUUGACGCUGAGGAGCGAAAAGCGUGGGGGAGCAAACAGGG